rnacentral:rRNA from 1 species
GACGAACGCUGGCGGCGUGCCUAACACAUGCAAGUCGUGCGAGAAAGUUCCUUCGGGAGCGAGUAAAGCGGCGCACGGGUGAGUAACACGUAGGUAACCUGCCCCCCAGUCUGGAACAACUAGAGGAAACUCUAGCUAAUGCCGGAUGAGACCACGAUCCCUUCGGGGGUUGCGGCCAAAGAUGGCCUCUACUUGUAAGCUAUCGCUGAGGGAUGGGCCUGCGGGCCAUUAGCUUGUUGGUGAGGUAACGGCUCACCAAGGCUGUGAUGGCUAGCUGGUCUGAGAGGAUGACCAGCCACACUGGGACUGAGACACGGCCCAGACUCCUACGGGAGCAGCAGUGGGAAUAUUGCGCAAUGGGCGAAAGCCUGACGCAGCGACGCCGCGUGGGUGAUGAAGGCCU